rnacentral:lncRNA from 1 species
AGUUCCUGCGACGCCCCUGCAGCAGCAGCAGCGUGGUCAGAGCGAGCUUCUGAGCGGUGGUGGGUUCCAUGUGAUGGUGGAGUAGGAGACAGGUCUCCGCGGUCAGUGGCGGGGGCGUGGACCCCACCGGGAACCCUCCCUGCUCCUUCCCUGCCUCUCCCUGUUUUCGUGCCCGCACUUCUUCGUGGGCAUCUGGGCCCGAGUCCUCCGCUUGGGGGCGGUUGUGCGGUCCUGGCUACUGCAGCGUCCGCACCCCGGCCGGGAAGGCUAUGCCAAUGUCCGACCCGCGUCCAGCGUAUAGGAGCGCCCUGGCCCACAGCUGGCGGUAAAACGCGGGACCUGGGUCCCUCGGAGCCCCAGGGGCCUCUGAGCUGGAGUCUAGGAUUAUUUUUGAUGCCUCAGCACCUUUAAAAAGAGACCUCGCUAGAGCAGGGGGCAUCUGUAUUUUCAGUUCUUUGAGGAGUCUCCAGCUAUUUAGCUGUUUUCCAUGGUUCAUCUGCGUUGCUCUAAAUGGGACUGUUUCAUUAUUUUGAUGGCUGAAGAAUAUUUCCUAGUGUAUGUAUAUGAGAGUUUCUUGAUCUCUUUAUCUGUGGAUGAACAGCUACUUUGAAAUAUAUGAUACAUUUGUGUUAAGGCUAGUCACGCUGCUGUGGAAUAGAAGGCCAGAAUUGAUCACUAUCAUCUGAGAGUAACUUUGUACCCAUCACUGAUUCCUUCCGAGACUGCCUCCACUUCCCCAGCAGCCUCUGAUUUCUUCAUGUGGCUGCAGAUGGCAGGAUUUCCCAAAGGUUUAUGGCUGCAACAUAUUCCGUGGUGUAUCUGUACAGCAGUUUCCUCAUUCCUGCAGCUGUGUUUGAACAGGUCAUUUACCAUGCGGUCCUCCAGGUUCAACAGUAUGGCUCCAAAUGAUGAAAUUUCAUUCUGAUUUUCUGGCUGAAGACUAUUCUGUUUGUGUAUGUCCACCACAGUUACUUUAUCCCUUCAUCUGUGGAUGGGCAGGAAACUCCAAACUGUCCAAGGGAUAGUUCUGUUGUGAUUACUUCAUUGAGAAAUUUAACUUAUGAGCAGUUGAAAGGAAUGCAAGUUGCUGGAAAAUCAGAAUGAAGAGUGCAAAAUGACCAAGCUACAAUGUAUUGUCAUUAUUCACUCUGAUGUGAAAAAGGCAGUGAAUUCAAUAGAAAAUAACUUUGCAGAAUAAAAUCUCAGGUGUGUUUUUUUAGUGCCACAGUCUUGGAUGAUGGGCUUCUAGAUGUUGAGUCCUAGAAGCUCUCAACAUCUCUUCUUAAUUGGAGAAAGUGUUAAGCCCCAAAGUAGCUGGAGCAGUACAUCUUCAAUUUUUGACAAGAAAGCAGGAACUUGGUUACUUUGAGUGUUAUUCAUUAGUUUCUGCUUUCAUUGAGAAUGCAGCAAAAGCCAACGAGGCUGCUGCUAACUCCUUGCUGGACAUCUUCUGCCACUAUCACAGGAACUGUGAUCUCACUGGACAAUUAACUAGGGAGCCUUUCAUCUUGAAUGACUGCUGCACAAAUGAUCUUCAAAGCAUUUUAGCCACCAGAGGAAUUCUCUUCAAAUACCCAAAAUCCAUCAGUAUCUUGAAUCAUGCUGGAUUUUGAAGAAUUCUUAACAAGCCAUGUAAAGGGGGCUCUCUGGCCUUGAAAUAGUGAUGUUUUUUAUACAGAAAGGAGAAUGCCGAAUGUUCAGACUACCAUGCACUGUUAAAUUUGAUUUCAAGAAAUUACAGGAAAACUUUCCAAAGUUCCGUCUCACAGAAUUUAUUUUUACAAAGAAUUCCAAGAUAAGUUUAGUUUUAUGGAAGAUUUUUAUGUGGUUUUUACUCACUCUUCAUCUCAGACAUCAACCGAUGAUUACAUCACUUAUUUAGCUAGUAAAUUUAUUAAUAUAAAACUCAGAGACAUUCCAAUAUCCACAUUGCUUACAUCAUCAGGCAUAGAUUCAAUGUCAGCUAUGACAAUUGAAAAUAAGCUGUUUUGUGAUUUAAAGGUUUAAAUUUCUCUAACCAAACAGCUUGAUCCAGAUGCAGCACUGCAAAUGUUAAUAUUUGUUCUGGAAGAGCAAUCAAAUAAGACUUAAGAGGAAAAGGAAUGGCCACAAUCCACCUGAAAUUUUUUUUAAAAAAGUAUGCAGCCUACUAAAUCAGAAUGAAAAUAGAAGUACAAGAUUAUAAACAAAAUGCAAUCAAACUUUUCUUAAGCUUACCUAAAGUUAUUUUAUCUGAAAAUUUCAAGCAACUUUGAUCAACAUUAAAUUGACAAUCUAAACUAACAAGUCUUUUGAAUUUAUGUAUGGUAGUAAACAUUCUCUCUAUUAAUUUUAUUACCUAAGGCUAAACCUAAAAUUUUUAAGCAAAAUUAGAAAGUCUUCACUUAUCAAAAAAUAAAGUUUGUUACAUUUAGUAUUUUCCCAAUAAAAUUGGUCAUUCUUGGUUUUUUAUUUGGAGAAUCUGUGCAAAAUUUCACUGAAAAUAAAUUAGAACUAGAAAUUAUUUCUAAAUACCAAAAAAAAAAUGAAGAAUGGUUUCACAAAGAAAAAAAGAAAACUUGCUUAAUUAGCAGAGUAUCAUCUCUGUGAUUUUUGUGAUUAUUUGAUCAGUGUCCUGAGAUGGAUACAAUGGCAAGUAAUGACAAAAUUAAAAUAAGCAUGCAGAUUUUUUUAAAUUAAGUGCCAAAAAAUAAUUGGUCAUGCAAAGCCCUUAAAAAUAUUGUGGCCUAAUUCUAAAGUUUUUUGCUACUAUGCUACAUCACACGCAACAUCAGUUAAGUGCUCAUUCUGUGACAGGUAGUACAUUACAUUUUAGCAAACUACACAAGACCCCUAUGUGAUAAUAUGCUUCAGGGUUGUAAGGUUGGGUGCAUUUACUAGUCUUGAAUUUUCUGGGAGUAUACAAACCCAAUAUUAGUCUAGAUGCCCACAAAUCUAUUUAGACGUCACAGUAGAAUGGAGAGUAAUCUUGACCACAGGAAGCUGUGUUGUGGCAUUUAUUUUGAAAUUAUUUUUUCUUGAUUUUUUUGCCUUUUGUUUUGUGAGUUUUAUAAUGUACAGAAUAUUUUUAAAUUAUUAUAUAUAUCAACUAAUUAGUCUUCAUUUAAACUUACGCCUCUGGGGUCUUACUUGGGUUUCUCCUAACAAUAUUAUACACAUAUUUGCAAUAAUUUCUCUCAUACUGCUUUUAACUCAUUUAAUUUUUCAACUUUUUAAGAAUAACAAAAGUGAUAUUAAUUGUAAAAAUGCUGAAGUGACAUAUGAAUUUAUGAAGUGCAUAUGUAUUUUUUAGUUUACCAAUGAGAUGGGAGAAAUGCUGUCUUAUAUUUUAACAUACAUUUUGGCCAUUACACAGAUGAAGCAACUUUUCAUUUGUUAAUACAUAAUGCAUACUUUUUCUUCUGUGCAAUUCCUCUUUGUAUUCUUUGCUCAUUUUCCCACUGGGAUUUGCAAGUUCUUUAUUAUUUGAUAAUCUCUAUACAUUCUGAAUAUCAAUUUUUUGUUAUAUAUACCAUGUAAAUAUUUUCUUCUAAUUUGUUAUUUGUCUUUUAAUGGUAUUUAUCAAUUGUUUGCUAAAAAUGAGUUUGUUUAGUUAGUAAAAUUUGUCUAUCUUUAACUUCAUGAUAUUUGUAUAUCAUGUCAUGAGGAAAAGGCAUGAAUAUUUUAAAAACUUCCUUGUAGUGUUAAUUUUAUUUUUUAUUUCAUUCUUUAAGUUAUUUGAAAUUUAUUGUUUAUUUCUUCAAAUUCCAAAUAAUAACCAACUUUCUCAAAGCAAUACUUCUUUCUACUGAUUUCAAACGUUACAUUUGUCUUCUCUGAAGUUCUUGUUUUUUUGAUACCUGACUGUCACACUACUGCUGUGGAUGUGCUUCAUACCAUCACAGUACUGCAGGGUUAUAAGAUUAUCUGAUAGCCAAUAGAAGCAGACGUCUACUCACUGUCAUUCUUUUGUCUUUUGGAGAAUAAAGUUAGCUAUUUUUA